GGCCCAAUGGUCUAGUGGUAUGAUUCACGCUUUGGGUUCUAUUAUGAUGAAACAGAAUGUGUGAGGUCUCCGGUUCGAUCCCGGAUUGGGCCC